rnacentral:rRNA from 1 species
GACGAACGCUGGCGGCGUGCCUAAUACAUGCAAGUCGAACGCUGAAGGAGGAGCUUGCUUCUCUGGAUGAGUUGCGAACGGGUGAGUAACGCGUAGGUAACCUGCCUGGUAGCGGGGGAUAACUAUUGGAAACGAUAGCUAAUACCGCAUAACAGUAGAUAUCGCAUGAUAUCUACUUGAAAGGUGCAAUUGCAUCACUACCAGAUGGACCUGCGUUGUAUUAGCUAGUUGGUGAGGUAACGGCUCACCAAGGCGACGAUACAUAGCCGACCUGAGAGGGCGAUCGGCCACACUGGGACUGAGACACGGCCCAGACUCCUACGGGAGGCAGCAGUAGGGAAUCUUCGGCAAUGGACGGAAGUCUGACCGAGCAACGCCGCGUGAGUGAAGAAGGUUUUCGGAUCGUAAAGCUCUGUUGUAAGAGAAGAACGAGUGUGAGAGUGGAAAGUUCACACUGUGACGGUAUCUUACCAGAAAGGGACGGCUAACUACGUG